GUGAGGAAUUUUUCGCAAUGGGCGAAAGCCAGACGGAGCAAUGCCGCGUGAAGGAUGAAGGCCUAUGGGUUGUAAACUUCUUUUCUCAGAAAAGAAUUAUGACGGUAUCUGAGGAAUAAGCAUCGGCUAACUCUGUGCCAGCAGCCGCGGUAAGACAGAGGAUGCAAGCGUUAUCCGGAAUGAUUGGGCGUAAAGCGUCUGUAGGUUGUUUAAAAAGUAUUCUGUCAAAGAUUAGGGCUUAACCCUAGAUAGGCAGAAUAAACUUUUAAGCUAGAGUUUGGUAGAGGCAGAGGGAAUUCCCGGUGGAGCGGUGAAAUGCGUAGAUAUCGGGAGGAACACCAAAGGCGAAGGCACUCUGCUGGGCCAAUACUAACACUGAGAGACGAAAGCGAGGGGAGCAAAUGGGAUUAGAAACCCUUGUAGUCC
rnacentral:rRNA from 1 species